UGACACAUUACUCUGUUCACAAAUUAUACAAGAGUAUACACAUGUACCUAGUGCAUCUUUUCUUGUACGCUUUAAAUAUCUUUGGAAUAUAUGGAUAUUCCAGCGGAAUGGUGGUCUGGAUGAUGGCGACGGAGGUGGUAGUGGUGGUAGCAGUGGGGUGGUGAUGAGAAAUUAUGGUUGUACUAUGUUUGUGUGUCCUGAAUACAAAGGCAAAACAAUCAUUCUUGAAAUGAAAUUUAACCAAACUUGUGACCAAAUAAGCACCAAUAGAGUCUAAUUUUAAGCUACAUGUUACUCCAAAUCCAUUCUCCAACUUAAAGGAGAUGAAUUUUGAUAGAAAUUAUGGUUGUAGUAUGUUUGUGUGUUCACUAUAUAUUAUAAAAUCAGGAUUCUGCUACACAUUUAGUGGAUAUUUGUUUGGUUUCUAACUAUGCAAGGCGUUUGAUUAACAACCAAUAAGCCUCGGACAUACCAAAAGAAUACUUAAUUAGAGUGUCAUAAGCCAAAGUUCCUAAAAUUUGUAGUUGUCUUCUCCAUGCUUCAAAAAACUACCUAAAGAGUUUAGCUUUACCACAUCUAUCUUAAAAAGAAAUUUAAGGACCAAUGUUUAGACUUGUGAUUUCAAACCUCAUUCUUCCAGGAACCCAAAUCCAUUGCCAUAUCAAACAAGCUGUUAGUGACAUGGCAUUGGAAUUCAAGAAAAGAAGCCCCCUUGGUUUUCUGCUUCUGAAAAAUAAAAGUUCAUUGGAUCUCUGGAAGUCAAAGGAAUUCCCCUUCAACUAGAAAACUGAAAAAAAUGUUUAAUCUUAGUGAAACUCCUAGUGAUCUUUUAAAUUAUAUAUUAAGUAAUACACAAAGCCAUGCGCUUAAAGCAUUUCACAAUGCUUCGAUAAUUUAAUAUUACUACGCUACACAUCCUUAUUUCACACAUGCAGUCGAUGAUCAGAAACAAUAACAAAGUAUUGUUUCACUAAAAUUCUCUCAAUGAAGGCAAAUUUCAAUAUUUCAGAUUAGGUAAUAACAGAUACAUUUGCACAAAAAACUCAGUAUGAAACAUAUAGAACCAUUCGCUAAAACCACUUGUGUAGCUUAAAAGCAUCUUUCUAUUACAACUACUAGAACUUCCUCAAAAAAAUCCAAAUAACAAUUUAAUCAAAACUUACUUUGUUUUGCAUGGGGAAAUUGAUGAAAUUGUGAUCGAUCGGUAUAAAAGUAUCUUUCUAUUACAACUACUAUAACUUCCACAAAUUUUCAUGUCUUCCUGCAAAAAUGUGUGUCUUCAAGAAGUGCGUUUGUAAAACCUAAAACCGAUCGGCACAAAUAUGUCAUUCUGUUCGGUAAUACCUAAAACGGUUCUACACAAAACAUCAAAAUAAUCGUCGUAAAAUAGGUAAUCGGGAAUUGUAGACACAGAAUGAUGAAAAAACCUUAUCUGUUGAAGGAAUAGAACAUGUGAAGUGUGAGCUUGGAAUCCGUAGCCGGAUUUGAAACCUCGAUCCAGUAAACCCACAGUACUAUUUUCACAUCCAACCCCGAUUUUCCCCUUCUGCCAAAACAACACUCAGUUUUUCCAGCGUUUCAUCAGAACCAAACAUUUCCCAGAAAUAUUCCGGCAAAGUUAUGAAGGAGGGUACCGAAGAAGACCGGUUCGUCUGUGGCCGGGGCGUUAGGCAGGACGCGAAGAACCAAAGGAGUGUCGAUGUAGGAAAGAAGAUGCCGAAUCACCGGUGAGAUGGGGGAGGGGUAAAUCGGUAAUAAUAGAAAGUAUGAUAAAAUUAU
rnacentral:lncRNA from 1 species